GUGCUCGCUUCGGCAGCACAUAUACUAAAAUUGGAACGAUACAGAGAAGAUUAGCAUGGCCCCUGCGAAUAACACUUGGGAAGACUUUAUGCAAUCAACAAGUUUUU
rnacentral:snRNA from 1 species